rnacentral:rRNA from 1 species
GACGAACGCUGGCGGCGUGCUUAACACAUGCAAGUCGAACGGAAAGGCCCUGCUUUUGUGGGGUGCUCGAGUGGCGAACGGGUGAGUAACACGUGAGUAACCUGCCCUUGACUUUGGGAUAACUUCAGGAAACUGGGGCUAAUACCGGAUAGGAGCUCCUGCUGCAUGGCGGGGGUUGGAAAGUUUCGGCGGUUGGGGAUGGACUCGCGGCUUAUCAGCUUGUUGGUGGGGUAGUGGCUUACCAAGGCUUUGACGGGUAGCCGGCCUGAGAGGGUGACCGGCCACAUUGGGACUGAGAUACGGCCCAGACUCCUACGGGAGGCAGCAGUGGGGAAUAUUGCACAAUGGGCGGAAGCCUGAUGCAGCAACGCCGCGUGCGGGAUGACGGCCUUCGGGUAGUAAACCGCUUUAGCCUGUGACGAAGCGUGAGUGACGGUAAUGGGUAAAGAAGCACCGGCUAACUACGUG